GUGAGGUAAGAGAGGUCAGGGAUUAGGUAAGGGACGAGAGGACUACCCAGAGGGUUUUAUCCACAUGUGUUAAUAUGCAGCAAAAACCAGGCUGGAUUAUUCUGGGAUUACGUCAUCUGGCCUGUGUGUGUGUGUGUGUGUGUGUGUGUUUGUUCGCAUUUCUACGUGUGUUGAUAUUUGAACACGUCUAUCAGCCUGCGUUUGUGUGUGUACAGUUAAAUUAGUCACUUACACUGUCAUGUCCCGAACUGUUCCAAGGUGGCACACACACACAAACACACACGUACGCACGCACACACACCCACACAAACCAACACCCACACACCAGCAUAAGGCCUAAAGCACCAGUUUCUCGGCUGCCUCUUAAGAGGAGAACAGGGGGAGUUUCUCUCUCCCUCAGCUCUCCCCCGUUCUGUAGCUUCUUCCAUCCUCUUGACUCAAAUCUGAUCCUGUCUCCUCCCUCCUCAGUUCCCCUUCCUUUCAUUCUUUCUUCCCCUCUCCUCUCCUCUACCCUAUUUUUCCUCCCCCUCUCAUCCACUCCCCAAGUGGGUCUCCCCAGGCCCCUCCCCCUAAUCCACUAAUCACUUUGUUUCUCUCCCAUCACGGAUAUUAUCCACUUAUCCCAUCAUAGAUUCAUGAAGUCAUGUAUGAGUUAGUUUACCCUUCUUGUCAUCUCAUUCUAAACAAAACCCUUUCAAAACUCCCCCCUCCACCCUGCUGUACUCCUGCUGAAAUGCCCCUCACCGGGGGGGUUCCAGUGUUGUGUCAUGCAUUGUGUUUUGUGUUGUAGGGGUUUAUCCACGACGCCUUCGGUGGGAAUUAUUGUGAGCUCCGCUUGUGAUCUACGCAGCCUCUUGCUGUUUUCCAUGACUCACAAUGGGCCAUUUAGGACAAUGUGGAAAAUGUGUGAUUACUGUUAUAGACUGUAGAGGUAUGCAAUGUGUCAAUGUGUUUGUGCGUUUAUGUGUCCGUCUCUGUGUGUGUGUGUGUGUGUGUGUGUGUGUGUGUGUGUGUGUGUGUGUGUGUGUGUGUGUGUGUGUGUGUGUGUGUGUGUGUGUGUGUGUGUGCACGUCUAUGUUUGUGUGUGUGUGUGUGUGUGUGUGUGUGUGUGUGUGUGUGUGUGUGUGUGUGUGUGUGUGUGUGUGUGUGUGUGUGUGUGUGUUUGUGCACGUAUGAUAGAGUGAGAUAAAAGGAUAAAAGGCUUUUUUUCUAUGUGAGGAAGCAACCAAUAAAACAUGAUAUUUUCAUUCUGUUCUCCUUUUAGAACCAAGCUGUUUGUAGCGGUCAGUGGGUAGAGGCAGUGCUAUUGUUUAGUCUGAUAGUGUUGAAGAAUUCAGUCUAAACAGCUGAAAGAUAAUAAGCAUUGGGAAUUCUUACGUUUAGUAGUUUAGUAGUAGUCUAUCCAAACCAAUUAUUUUAACACCUUGUCACCAUAAAGAUAUGAAAAUAUUUAGUGUAUGUGUGUCAGUGAGUGAGUGAGUGAGUGAGUGAGUGAGUGAGUGAGUGAGUGAGUGAGUGAGUGAGUGAGUGAGUGAGUGAGUGAGUGAGUGAGUGAGUGUGUGAGUGAGUGAGAGAGAGAGCAAGCAGGUGCACACACAGUUUUUGUGUGUAUGCAAUUGCACGCGUGUGCGCGUUUUUGUGUCUGGUGUGACGUGAGUGAGUGUGAUUUCUGGGGCCUGUAAACUGUAGUUAAAGUGUUCAGCUGGACCAUUGAUGUGAGCAGUUACAGUCGGGAAAACUAUUAUUAUUAUUAUUGGAUUUAAAAGAUUAGAAUGCACCUGUACCUCAGGACAUUAGAAGGGCCUUGUGUGUGUGUGUGCGUGUAUAUACAUGUCCCAAACACCUACACACACACACAAGACAAUAUCAAACACACUUACAGAUUAGCAUUCAAACACACGCUGCUCUUCAAAGGGGUGAUUUGAAGGUCUCAGUCGGACGCAUUAGAACUAACGUGGUCCUUGAUCGGAAUCUAAAAACAGGAGCUACGGUCGGCUGCCAGGGAACAGGAGAAGAGAGGGCGGUAAAACACCUGCUGCUUCACUUCAUCUAACCUGCUCCAGGAGCACAGCACCAGUACACAGAGGCAGAGCGGGACGGAGAGGACGGGAUAGAGAAAUAGCAAGAUAGAGAGACACACACAGAGUUAGAGAGGGAGAGAUAAAACGGCCACGAUACAGAAAAAGAAAGACAGAGACAGAAAGAGAGAGGGAGAAGGAGUAUGAGGGGAACAAGAGAGAUAGAGAUAGAGAGAUGGAAAGUCGGAAAGUCAGAGACACCAGAUUAGCCUAGUCUGAUUCUGGUGUGAACUCACGACACUGCAUCCUACAGGAAGUACAGCCAUGUAAACAGGAAGCAUUUAGGACAGCCUGUGUCCAGGAGGUAGGAUACGUUUAGACAUGUUACCUAAAAUACCUUAAAAACACACACACAUGCAAGCAGACACACACACAUGCACACAUGCAAACACACACAAAAACAGACACAUACACACAUACCUGCAAACACACACACACACACACACACACACACACACACACACACACACACACACACACACACACACACACACACACACACACACACACACACACACACACACACACACACACACACACACAAACACACACACACACAUACACAUACGCAAGGACAAA